rfam:Otolemur garnettii contig000211, whole genome shotgun sequence.
GUGCCUGUGGCUCAAAGGAGUAGGGCACUGGCCCCAUAUGCCAGAGGUGGCGGGUUCAAACCCAGCCCUGGCCA